UACGAAGGGUGCAAACGUUGCUCGGAAUCAUUGGGCGUAAAGCGCACGUAGGCGGCUUCGCAAGUCGGAUGUGAAAUCCCUCGGCUCAACCGAGGACGUGCAUCCGAAACUGCGGAGCUUGAGUAUGGAAGAGGGUCGCGGAAUUCCCGGUGUAGAGGUGAAAUUCGUAGAUAUCGGGAGGAACACCAGUGGCGAAGGCGGCGACCUGGGCCAAUACUGACGCUGAGGUGCGAAAGCGUGGGGAGCAAACAGGAUUAGAAACCCCCGUAGUCC
rnacentral:rRNA from 1 species